GGGAAUCUUCCACAAUGGACGAAAGUCUGAUGGAGCAACGCCGCGUGAGUGAAGAAGGUGUUCGGGUCGUAAAACUCUUUUGUUGGAGAAGAAUGUAUCUGAUAGUAACUGAUCAGGUUGUGACGGUAUCCAACCAGAAAGCCACGGCUAACUACGUGCCACCA
rnacentral:rRNA from 1 species